rnacentral:rRNA from 1 species
UCGAACGGAACUGUUUUGAAAGAUUUCUUCGGAAUGAAUUUGAUUUAGUUUAGUGGCGGACGGGUGAGUAACGCGUGAGUAACCUGCCUUCAAGAGGGGGAUAACAUUCUGAAAAGAAUGCUAAUACCGCAUGACAUAUCGGAAUCACAUGGUUUUGAUAUCAAAGAUUUUAUCGCUUGAAGAUGGACUCGCGUCCGAUUAGUUAGUUGGUGAGGUAACGGCUCACCAAGACCGCGAUCGGUAGCCGGACUGAGAGGUUGAACGGCCACAUUGGGACUGAGACACGGCCCAGACUCCUACGGGAGGCAGCAGUGGGGGAUAUUGCGCAAUGGGGGCAACCCUGACGCAGCAACGCCGCGUGAAGGAUGAAGGUUUUCGGAUUGUAAACUUCUUUUAUUAAGGACGAAACUUGACGGUACUUAAUGAAUAAGCUCCGGCUAACUACGUGCCAGCAGCCGCGGUAAUACGUAGGGAGCAAGCGUUGUCCGGAUUUACUGGGUGUAAAGGGUGCGUAGGCGGCUUUGCAAGUCAGAUGUGAAAUCUAUGGGCUCAACCCAUAAACUGCAUUUGAAACUGUAGAGCUUGAGUGAAGUAGAGGCAGGCGGAAUUCCCCGUGUAGCGGUGAAAUGCGUAGAGAUGGGGAGGAACACCAGUGGCGAAGGCGGCCUGCUGGGCUUUAACUGACGCUGAGGCACGAAAGCGUGGGUAGCAAACAGGAUUAGAUACCCUG